ACUUGAUCCUGCAGCUGUAAGGGAGGAACCCAGCUCUGGAUUCCCAGGUCCUUACAUUCAGUGAUCAGCACUCAAAACAGACCACUGACCAUGGACUUUGGGCUCAGCUUAGUUUUCCUUCUCCUUAUUUUAAAGGGUGUCCAGUGUGAGGUGAAGCUGGUGGAGUCUGGCGGAGGCUUGGUGCAGCCUGGAAGCUCCCUAAAACUCUCUUGUGCAGCCUCUGGAUUCACUUUCUCUGACUACUGGAUGGCCUGGGUUCGCCAGGCUCCAGAGAAGGGGCUGGAGUGGGUUGCAUCCAUUACUAAUACUGGUGGUAGCACCUACUACCCAGACAGUGUGAAGGGCAGAUUCACCAUCUCCAGAGACAAUGGCAAGAACACCCUAUACCUGCAAAUGAGCAGCCCGAGGUCUGAGGACACAGCCAUGUAUUACUGUGCAAGAGGCACAAUGAGUGAAAAUUACUGUGAACUCAAACACAAACCUCCUGUGGGGGUUCAGAGAGGGCUUUGA